CCCGGAGCUCGCAGGGAAGCUCGCUGCCUGCCAGGCUUGUUUUGCAGACGAGCAAGGACACACCUCUCGGUGGUUCUCAUGGGUCCUGACUCCAUGUGCCUUUGGUCUCUGCUCCUGGACACUUAUGAGCUGCUCAGCCUUUGCCUUUCAGGCUUGGCUGGAGAGUUUGAACAGUACAUGAAAAACAACUGCAGUGCAAGCUGAAUGUGAUGAAGAAAAGGUUGGGAACAGCUGCUUCCCCAGGCUCAUGGAAUCCUUUGGGUGCAGCAC